rnacentral:rRNA from 1 species
AUGAACGCUAGCGGCAGGCUUAACACAUGCACGUCGAGGGGCAGCAUAAUGGAUAGCAAUAUCUAUGGUGGCGACCGGCGCACGGGUGCGUAACGCGUAUGCAACCUACCUUUAACAGGGGGAUAACACUGAGAAAUUGGUACUAAUACCCCAUAAUAUCAUAGAAGGCAUCUUUUAUGGUUGAAAAUUCCGAUGGUUAGAGAUGGGCAUGCGUUGUAUUAGCUAGUUGGUGGGGUAACGGCUCACCAAGGCGACGAUACAUAGGGGGACUGAGAGGUUAACCCCCCACACUGGUACUGAGACACGGACCAGACUCCUACGGGAGGCAGCAGUGAGGAAUAUUGGUCAAUGGACGCAAGUCUGAACCAGCCAUGCCGCGUGCAGGAUGACGGCUCUAUGAGUUGUAAACUGCUUUUGUACGAGGGUAAACGCAGAUACGUGUAUCUGUCUGAAAGUAUCGUACGAAUAAGGAUCGGCUAACUCCGUG